rnacentral:rRNA from 1 species
CCUGGGCACGAUGUGCGGGUAUAGUGGCGACGGGUGAGUAACACGUGGGCAAUCUGCCCUGCACUCUGGGACAAGCCCUGGAAACGGGGUCUAAUACCGGAUAUGACUGUCCAUCGCAUGGUGGAUGGUGUAAAGCUCCGGCGGUGCAGGAUGAGCCCGCGGCCUAUCAGCUUGUUGGUGAGGUAGUGGCUCACCAAGGCGACGACGGGUAGCCGGCCUGAGAGGGCGACCGGCCACACUGGGACUGAGACACGGCCCAGACUCCUACGGGAGGCAGCAGUGGGGAAUAUUGCACAAUGGGCGAAAGCCUGAUGCAGCGACGCCGCGUGAGGGAUGACGGCCUUCGGGUUGUAAACCUCUUUCAGCAGGGAAGAAGCGAAAGUGACGGUACCUGCAGAAGAAGCGCCGGCUAACUACGUGCCAGCAGCCGCGGUAAUACGUAGGGCGCAAGCGUUGUCCGGAAUUAUUGGGCGUAAAGAGCUCGUAGGCGGCUUGUCACGUCGGUUGUGAAAGCCCGGGGCUUAACCCCGGGUCUGCAGUCGAUACGGGCAGGCUAGAGUUCGGUAGGGGAGAUCGGAAUUCCUGGUGUAGCGGUGAAAUGCGCAGAUAUCAGGAGGAACACCGGUGGCGAAGGCGGAUCUCUGGGCCGAUACUGACGCUGAGGAGCGAAAGCGUGGGGGAGCGAACAGGAUUAGAUACCCUGGUAGUCCACGCCGUAAACGGUGGGGCACUAGGUGUGGGGCAACAUUCCACGUUGUCCGUGCCGCAGCUAACGCAUUAAGUGCCCGCCUGGGGAGUACGGCCUGAAGGCUAAACUCAAGGAAUUGACGGGGGCCCUGCACAAGCGGCGGAGCAUGUGGCUAAAUUCGAACGCAUCGCGAAGAAACCUUUACCAAGGUUGGAACAU